CUCAUGUAUCUAUGAUUCAGAUUCAGAUCCCAUCUAUCUUUGAUUCCUUUCAAAAACUCUACAUCUAUACCAGCCGAUUCUCAUCAAAGCGAUUAUCAUAAACCCUAAAUAAACCCUCAAUUGGAACCAGUCGAAUGCUAAUCCAUAAUGAUGAACGAAAAUGGCCAGAAUAUGGACACGGGUUCGUGCGUGUUGGUGGGUUUGUACUGUGGAGAUGGUGGUGAUAAGAAAGCUUAAUCAGAUAAUGCUUGCUUAUAGAUAUUAUGAACUUGAACCAUAAACGAUAAAAGAAGACAUAUUGGAUGUUGUUAGCUGGAACGAUAAUAUUUACUCAGCAGUUAGUAUUUGGUGCAAACGCAUGCCGAAGGUUUUAUAUGAUACAAUUUGUACAUUGACAGAACUCAGGUAUUUUGUUUUUCAUGGUAACUUUUAUGCUGAUGGGGCUGAAGCAUACCAAAUGGAAAUUUGGAUCAGACAUAUUGAUGGAUCACGUUUCAAAUCAGAUGCAGAGAGACAGAAAGUGAUACAAUUUUCUUGAAGUAGCGAUAUAGAGAAGAGUUUCCGCGGUAAGGAUGAUAAAAAUUAUCUUUUUCAGAUGUAUUUUUUAUUUGUUUUGUUUGUUA